AUUGAACGCUAGCGGUAUGCUUUACACAUGCAAGUCGAACGAGUGGCGGACGGGUGAGUAAUAUAUCGGAACGUGCCCUUUGGCGGGGGAUAACUACUCGAAAGAGUAGCUAAUACCGCAUAAUAUCGGACCGGCCGAGAUCGGAUUAGCUAGUGGGUGGGGUAAAGGUUCACCAAGGCCACGAUCCGUAGCUGGUCUGAGAGGACGACCAGCCACACGGGGAUUGAGACACGGCCCAGACUCCUACGGGACGCAGCAGUGGGGAAUUUUGGACAAUGGGGGAAACCCUGAUCCAGCCAUCCCGCGUGUAUGAGAAGGCCUUCGGGUUGUAAAGUACUUUUAGUAGCGAAGCGGUAUCGGCAGAAUAAGCACCGGCUAACUACGUGCCAGCAGCCGAGGUAAUUC
rnacentral:rRNA from 1 species